UUUCCGUAGGUGAACCUGCGGAAGGAUCAUUACAACAAGGUUCCCUGGCCCUCGAAGCUUCGGCGGAGGGGCGCUACAGCCUGACUUUAUACCCACCCUUUGCCUAUGUGUACCCCUAUUGCUUCCCUCGGCGGGUUCGCCCGCCGACAGGAACCAACUAAACCCUUUGCAUUAUACAUUUAACACUUCCGAUACAAAACUAAAUUAUUACAACUUUUAACAAUGGAUCUCUUGGUUCUGGCAUCGAUGAAGAACGCAGC
rnacentral:misc_RNA from 1 species